AACGAACGCUGGCGGCAGGCUUAACACAUGCAAGUUGAACGUGAUUUAUUAGUGCUUGCACUAAUAAUGAAAGUAGCGCACGGGUGAGUAACACGUGGGAACGUACCAUAGAGUGGGGGAUAACAGUUGGAAACGACUGCUAAUACCGCAUAAUCCCUGAGGGGGAAAGAUUUAUCGCUCAAUGAACGGCCCGCGGAAGAUUAGGUAGUUGGUGGGGUAAAUGCCUACCAAGCCUACGAUCUAUAGCUGGUCUGAGAGGACGAUCAGCCACAUUGGGACUGAGACACGGCCCAGACUCCUACGGGAGGCAGCAGUGAGGAAUAUUGGGCAAUGGGGGAAACCCUGACCCAGCCAUGCCGCGUGAGUGAGAAGGUUUUCGAAUUGUAAAGCUCUUUCAGGUGAGAAGAUGAUGACGGUAUCACCAGAAGAAGCCCCGGCAAACUUCGUGCCAGCAGCCGCGGUAAC
rnacentral:rRNA from 1 species